AUCAGCCAAUCAAGGCAGACAGAGCACACAGCGACGCACAGGGUAAUUAAAGCGCAGCGGUGCUUGUUUGGACACGGAGGAGAUCUGCUGCGACGUGCAUCUUUGGAGACAACGAGACAGAUUUAAGAAUGACGACCAACGAUGGGGGCGAGACUGGCAGAGAAGCAAAUGCACUGGGGAGUCUCAGGAGGCGGACAGAUGGGAGAGCUUUUGGAGCCGGAGCAGCCGAACCAGACUCUGCCCAGCAACCUGUGAACAAGCUGAUGUUGAUGAUGGCGUAGGAGGCUGAGACGGCAGCAGAAGAGGAAACUUAUUAAGUUUCAAACUCGAAUCCUCGGCUCCUUAAGAAGGUAAUAUUAAAAAUAUAAUAUAUGGACGGCUCCUGCAAGUGUGUGUGCAAAAAACAAAAUGGUCUCAUAAUUUUCUUUUAUGCCCAUGGAUGGGUUUUAUUAUGCGCGCGCACUCUGACCUGCAUGAGCCGGCACAGAUGCACAAA